CUGAUUCCACAAAAGAAGAAACAUAUGUAUGGACAGUAGAGGCCCAGGAAGAUGAUUGAAGUAAUGGAUAAGCUGCCCUGGGGGGAAAGACUGAAGUAACUAAGUCUGAAGAAGAGAAGUUUCAGUAGGAUCUUCAUCAAAAUAUUCCAAUUGCACUGAGUUCGUGGGCUGACAAAUCCUUCCAAACUCUCCCUGGAUCCCUGCAGGACCUGUCUGCGAGUCUGUUGCAAGCUGACCUUAAAUCCAUGCAUCUGCCUCUCUGUUCCUGAAAAAGGAGAGGCUUGUUGAGGACCAGGGAUAGGCAGCAGAACUUACCACUUUAACACCUGCAUUUUUAGUGAGAAAAUUUCUGGAAUCAGGAACUGAAGUGAGAUGCACCUAUGUUGUAUAUAUCCUGAUGUUAUAUGCAUCUGUACCAUGUACACAUCUGGGAAGGAACAUCUGAAGAGAUCAGAGGUGUACAGUCAGCUGCAGAAAGGAUUAUGUAAAGGAUGAACAAAGAGAUUUUGAUUUACCCAAGAUUAGAAGAAGUGACUGCUAAAUCCAACAUCAUCUGGAAGUGACUAUAUCCUGAGACAACAUCCAAUCAACAGUAAUCAAUCCUUUCAAUUGUGUAAUAAAGUCUUGAGAAGAUGAAGCUUUGCCACUGAAAUGUGACAUUGUUUUUCAUUAAAUAAUGAAGCAAUUAUUGUUGUAGUAAACUAAUGUCAAACAGCAGUGAGUAAGGACAAUCCUUCAUCUCUAAGUGUCUCAUAUUAGUUCAUUUUGUUAAAGUACUUUAAACACUGGGCAAAAGUAUGCAGAAAAAAAAGAUGGAAAUGAAAAUAUUGCAAUGGAUUCACUUUACAAUGAGAAAAAUAUUUACUUAUUGAUUUGUUUGCAUUUAUUCUUUCAUGAAUAAUGAAAUAGUUAUGAAAUACCUGUCUUCUGUUGUUUUAAAUGCAUCUCUGAAAAGCAGAUAUCACACUGAGGUACAAGAAGGAAUCAAAAAAGUAAAAAACUCUUGAAGUUCUGUAGCAAUAGAUACAAUUUAUCACUCAGGCCUUUAUCUGUCCAUCUUCACCUUUUAAUCCCUACUGCGUCUCAGCUGUUAAUGAAAUAACCUCACAAUAUCCAGUGUUCAUUGCCGAUGUCUACGUUUGCAUCGUUUUUGUUUAUUUUUUUGCAUAGUGGCUUUGAAAUCCUGAGUGAGUGUAUAAAUGAGUUAUCUUUCUUCUUUCCCUUACCCUCUCAUGAGCUUCUUUCUCUGAAGUACGAUGCCUACUUAUGUAUUAAAUAUUCACCACAGUUACAGGACUUGAAUCAAUCUCCUGAAUCAGCUAGUAAAAACACAACAAUGGAAACCUUGAAGCAGAGACUAAAAGGUAACUAAACAUUCCUCCUUGUAUGGUCUUUCUGCUGAGAUAUCAAAUAUGAAAGGUCUUCUAUUAAAAAUACUUUUUUAGCAAAUUACAUUUUUAAAUAUAAAUUCAGAAAUUAUGUCCAGUAACGUACUAAUUAUUGAUAAGGAGGAAGGCAUCUUAUUUAGCAUUUGUGAUGUUUGGUAUUAUGGAGGAAAUUAACAACAGAACAUUUUCUGAAGAAGUUAAUGCUUCUUUAUUUUAUUAAAAUAUAUACUCAUGUAUAUUAAUAAAUAUUGUAUAGCAACAUAGACAAUUACAUAAUAUGCUGAAUUAAAUAUAGAUUUUCUAAGACAAUACUGACUGAAAAUAGACCUAAAGCUUUAUAAGGUCAGAUUACAAACAACACUAUGAUAGAAUGUGAGACAAAACUUCCAAUCAACUAAAAUUUCAAUACUAAUGAAGUUUACCAUUAAGAAUUUGAGACAUUUUAUACAGCAUUUAAUUGGUGAAUGUGAAACAUCUGGUGUGAAGAAAAUGAAGAAAAUAAGAACUAUGCUUGACUUCUAGUGACUGAAAACAGAAAGAAACUUUGACAAAAUAAUCAGAUAAGAAUGAUAUUAAAUGGCGAACACUAUAACUACUUAUAUAUCUUUCUUUCCACAUCAUUCUUUUUAGUUACCAUUUUAUGAGCAAAACAAAAGACACUUUUGGGUUCUUAUGUCUAAUAUGAUUCUUUGUGAUAAAUGUUUGAAAGUGACAAAGACCUACAAUUUACUUCAUUUCGUAUCUGCUGUGUAAAAUGGGAUGUAAAUAUACAGUGGUUAUGAUUAAAUGGUAAUGUAAAAUAUAUUAAGAAAGAGAGAGGAUUUAGGUUAUAUGUUGUUUUUAUAUU